CCUGGCGGCAGUAGCGCGGAGGUCCCACCUGACCCCAUGCCGAACUCAGAAGUGAAACGCCGUAGCGCCGAUGGUAGUGUGGGGUCUCCCCAUGCGAGAGUAGGGAACUGCCAGGC
rnacentral:rRNA from 1 species